GACGAGUCUGACGAACGUUAUUCGGAAUUACCGGGCUUAAAGGGUGCGUAGGCGGUGGAGUAAGUCGGAUGUGAAAUACCUUAGCUCAACUAAGGAACUGCACUCGAUACUACUUUGCUAGAGUAAGACAGAGGUGAGUGGAACUGAGGGUGGAGCGGUGAAAUGCGUUGAUAUCCUCAGGAACGCCGGUGGCGAAGGCGACUCACUGGGUCUUUACUGACGCUGAUGCACGAAAGCUAGGGUAGCAAACGGG
rnacentral:rRNA from 1 species